GACGAACGCUGGCGGCGUGCCUGAUACAUGCAAGUCGAACGCUUCUUUCCUCCCGAGUGCUUGCACUCAAUUGGAAAGAGGAGUGGCGGACGGGUGAGUAACACGUGGGUAACCUACCCAUCAGAGGGGGAUAACACUUGGAAACAGGUGCUAAUACCGCAUAACAGUUUAUGCCGCAUGGCAUAAGAGUGAAAGGCGCUUUCGGGUGUCGCUGAUGGAUGGACCCGCGGUGCAUUAGCUAGUUGGUGAGGUAACGGCUCACCAAGGCCACGAGGCAUAGCCGACCUGGGAGGGGGAUCGGCCACACGGGGAGUGAGACACGGCCCAGACUCCUACGGGAGGCAGCAGUAGGGAAUCUUCGGCAAUGGACGAAAGUCUGACCGAGCAACGCCGCGUGAGUGAAGAAGGUUUUCGGAUCGUAAAACUCUGUUGUUAGAGAAGAACAAGGACGUUAGUAACUGAACGUCCCCUGACGGUAUCUAACCAGAAAGCCACGGCUAACUACGUGCCAGCCGCCGCUGUAA
rnacentral:rRNA from 1 species